rnacentral:rRNA from 1 species
UACGGGGGGGGCAAGCGUUGUUCGGAAUUACUGGGCGUAAAGGGCUCGUAGGCGGCCAACUAAGUCAGACGUGAAAUCCCUCGGCUUAACCGGGGAACUGCGUCUGAUACUGGAUGGCUUGAGUGUGGGAGAGGGAUGCGGAAUUCCAGGUGUAGCGGUGAAAUGCGUAGAUAUCUGGAGGAACACCGGUGGCGAAGGCGGCAUCCUGGACCAUUACUGACGCUGAGUGAGCGAAAGCCAGGGGAGCAAACAGG